GAUGAAGAACGCAGCGAAAUGCGAUAAGUAGUGUGAAUUGCAGAAUUCAGUGAAUCAUCGAAUCUUUGAACGCACAUUGCGCCCCUUGGUAUUCCAUGGGGCAUGCCUGUUCGAGCGUCAUUUGUACCUUCAAGCUCUGCUUGGUGUUGGGUGUUUGUCUCGCCUCUGCGUGUAGACUCGCCUCAAAACAAUUGGCAGCCGGCGUAUUGAUUUCGGAGCGCAGUACAUCUCGCGCUUUGCACUCAUAACGACGACGUCCAAAAGUACAUUUUUACACUCUUGACCUCGGAUCAGGUAGGGAUACCCGCUGAACUUAAGCAUAUCAAUAAGAGGAGGA
rnacentral:misc_RNA from 1 species